rnacentral:rRNA from 1 species
UGACGCUCUAGAGAUAGAGUUUUCCCCUUCGGGGGACAAAGUGACAGGUGGUGCAUGGUUGUCGUCAGCUCGUGUCGUGAGAUGUUGGGUUAAGUCCCGCAACGAGCGCAACCCUUAAGCUUAGUUGCCAUCAUUAAGUUGGGCACUCUAAGUUGACUGCCGGUGACAAACCGGAGGAAGGUGGGGAUGACGUCAAAUCAUCAUGCCCCUUAUGAUUUGGGCUACACACGUGCUACAAUGGACAAUACAAAGGGCAGCUAAACCGCGAGGUCAAGCAAAUCCCAUAAAGUUGUUCUCAGUUCGGAUUGUAGUCUGCAACUCGACUACAUGAAGCUGGAAUCGCUAGUAAUCGUAGAUCAGCAUGCUACGGUGAAUACGUUCCCGGGCCUGUACACACCGA